rnacentral:rRNA from 1 species
AUUGAACGCUGGCGGCAGGCCUAACACAUGCAAGUCGAGCGGAUGAAGGGAGCUUGCUCCUGGAUUCAGCGGCGGACGGGUGAGUAAUGCCUAGGAAUCUGCCUGGUAGUGGGGGAUAACGUCCGGAAACGGGCGCUAAUACCGCAUACGUCCUGAGGGAGAAAGUGGGGAUCUUCGGACCUCACGCUAUCAGAUGAGCCUAGGUCGGAUUAGCUAGUUGGUGGGGUAAAGGCCUACCAAGGCGACGAUCCGUAACUGGUCUGCGAGGAUGUUCAGUCACACUGGAACGGGGACACGGUCCAGACUCCUACGGGAGGCAGCAGUGGGGAAUAUUGGACAAUGGGCGGAAUCCUGAUCCAGCCAUGCCGCGUGUGUGAAGAAGGUCUUCGGAUUGUAAAGCACUUUAAGUGGGGAGGAAGGGCAGUAAGUUAAUACCUUGCUGUUUUGACGUUACCAACAGAAUAAGCACCGGCUAACUUCGUG